rnacentral:rRNA from 1 species
GACGUAGGGGGCAAGCGUUGUCCGGAUUUACUGGGCGUAAAGGGCGCGUAGGCGGUCGUGACAAGUCACUUGUGAAAUCUCCGGGCUUAACUCGGAACGGUCAAGUGAUACUGUCGGACUAGAGUACAGAAGGGGCAACUGGAAUUCUCGGUGUAGCGGUGAAAUGCGUAGAUAUCGAGAGGAACACCUGCGGCGAAGGCGGGUUGCUGGGCUGAUACUGACGCUGAGGCGCGAAAGCCAGGGGAGCGAACGGG